rnacentral:lncRNA from 11 species
CAAUAUAGUAAUAUAUAAUGCUAAUAUUGUGCUAUGCUAAUAAUAUAAUAUAUUGUAUGUACAUAUAAUUUGUAAGCCACUCUGAGUCCCCUUUGGGGUGAGAAGGGUGUGAUACAAAUGUAGUAAAUAAAUGCAGUAAAUAAAUAAAUAAUAAAUAAAUACAUUUUAGACUUAGGCUUGCCCAAAGUCUGAAAUGUCUUGAAGGCACACAACAACAACAACAACAACAACAACAACAAUCCUAAUUAACUUGACUAUCUCAUUGGCCAGAAGCAGGAGCACACUUCCCAUUGAAAUCCUGAUAAAUGUAUGUUGGUUAAAAUUGUUUUCAUUUUUAAAUAUUGUAUUGUUCUUUCAUUGUUGUUGUUGUUGUUGUUUUUGCACUACAAAUAAGACAUGUGCAGUGUGCAUCGGAAUUUGUUUGUAUUUUUUUUUUCAAAUGAUAAUCCGGCCCCUCAACAGUCUGAAGGAUUGUGGACCGGCCCUCGGCUUAAAAAGUUUGAGGACCCCUGCCCUAUAUGUAUAUAAUGUGAUCCGCCCUGAGUCCCCUUCGGGGUGAGAAAGAAGGGCGGAAUGUAAAUACUGCAAAUCAAUAAAUAUCAAUACUGUACAUAAAUAAAUGAACGGCCUUCCUGGGUCUUUCAGGUGCCCGUACCUGGGGAAGGUGAAGCAGGAGCCUGGAGGGAGCCCCCUGGUGGCGGCAGCAGUGCCAGCAGCGCCCAGCAGCCGCCGGCCUCCGCGGCCCCCCUCCGGCCUGUCCACCUGGUGGGCAGAGAGACCCGUUUUGCCUCGGUCCACUUUGUCCCUGCUCAGAGCGAGAACAAGCCGACCAAGCCGGGGACCAUCCAGCCCAUCUCCCGCCUGCGACCGGGGCCCGGCCUGUCCCCCGGGGCCGAUGGACGGGAGGGCGGCCCCAACCCCUUCCAGCCGCCGGAGGGGCCCCGCUCCAGCGCCCAGAGCUCCCCUCGGUCGCCACGACCCCCACCUUCGCCGGAUGAAGCCACACCGGUCAGUGCCAAGCAGGUCUACAAGGGCCUUUGCGGCCGUCCCUGUCCCUCACUUGUUCCUGGAGACGGAGGACGCAUCGGGCCAGAAGGGAACAGAGAAGGCCCAGCUUGCCCCCUGUGAGGCACCGUCUCCGGGGGGUCUCCACAGCCCCGAGCAGCGUUCCUUCCGCGAGAGGCAGAAGUACUUUGAGGUGGAGCUGAAGCAGCCCCCGCCGGCCGAGAAGCCCCCCAAGAGGGUCUCCCUGGUCGGGGAGGACGACCUGAAGAAGAUGAAGGAGGAGGAAGGCAAGUGGAGCCUGGGUGAACAACGCGGUCGGGCCCCAGGCGGCCACUUUGGGGGAGGGGGUGCAGAAUGAUCCUUGACCCCCCCCCCCCAUUGUGUCUCCAGGGAAGGGGAGCUCAGGGGGCCCAAGGGAGGGGGGUUUCAAGCCUGUCUUUCUAAAAUGGUCCCAUGGAGAUCUAGGAAGGAAGAUUGGCAUCCAGUUUAUGUGUGUGAGAACUGAGUGUCAUGAAUACCGUAGAGUCUCACUUAUCCAACAUAAACGGGCCAGCAGAACGUUGGAUAAGUGAAUAUGUUGGAUAAUAAGGAGGGAUUAAGGAAAAGCCUAUUAAACAUCAAAUUAGGUUAUGAUUUUACAAAUUAAGCACUAAAACAUCAUGUUAGACAACACAUUCGACAGAAAAAGUAGUUCAUACGCAGUAUUGCUAUGUAGUAAAUACUGUAUUUACGAAAUUAGGACCAAAAUAUCACGAUGUUUCGAAAACAUUGACUAUAAAAAUGCCUUGGAUAAUCUAGAACGUUGGAUAAAUGAGACUCUACUGUACUUCUUAAACAGAGGUUCUUUUAUUGCAAUUUCAGUGUGAGAGGGUCUAUCAGGACUUUUACAGAAAGAACAUUUAGACAUACAGACAUACAGAUUCUAUGUAACUACAUUGGAUUCAUCAACAACCUAUUGUUACAUUGGCUAACAAACAAACAAACAGAGGGGAAUGAAAUUUUCACUCAGCAUUCACAUUAUCCAUGCAAACAUUCACCUUCAUG